rnacentral:rRNA from 1 species
AGCGAACGCUGGCGGCAGGCUUAACACGUGCAAGUCGAACGGGCUUCUUCGGAAGUCAGUGGCAGACGGGUGAGUAACACGUGGGAACGUGCCCUUCGGUUCGGAAUAACUCAGGGAAACUUGAGCUAAUACCGGAUACGCCCUUUUGGGGAAAGGUUUACUGCCGAAGGAUCGGCCCGCGUCUGAUUAGCUUGUUGGUGGGGUAACGGCCUACCAAGGCGACGAUCAGUAACUGGUCUGAGAGGAUGAUCAGCCACACUGGGACUGAGACACGGCCCAGACUCCUACGGGAGGCAGCAGUGGGGAAUAUUGGACAAUGGGCGCAAGCCUGAUCCAGCCAUGCCGCGUGAGUGAUGAAGGCCUUAGGGUUGUAAAGCUCUUUUGUCCGGGACGAUAAUGACGGUACCGGAAGAAUAAGCCCCGGCUAACUUCGUG